rnacentral:rRNA from 1 species
GAUCAUGGCUCAGGAUGAACGCUAGCUACAGGCUUAACACAUGUAAGUCGAGGGGCAGCAUGUUGGUUGCUUGCAACCAAUGAUGGCGACCGGCGCACGGGUGAGUAACGCGUAUCCAACCUACCCUUGUCCAUCGGAUAACCCGUCGAAAGGCGGCCUGACACGAUAUGCGGUUCACAGCAGGCAUCUAACGUGAACGAAAUGUAAAGGAGAAGGAUGGGGAUGCGU